rnacentral:rRNA from 1 species
GACGAACGCUGGCGGCGUGCCUAAUACAUGCAAGUCGAGCGAGACUCUUCGGAGUCUAGCGGCAGACGGGUGAGUAACACGUGGGCAACCUGCCUGUAAGACUGGGAUAACACCGGGAAACCAGUGCUAAUACCGGAUAAUCCUUUUCCUCUCAUGAGGAAAAGCUGAAAGUCGGUUUCGGCUGACACUUACAGAUGGGCCCGCGGCGCAUUAGCUAGUUGGGGAGGUAACGGCUCACCAAGGCGACGAUGCGUAGCCGACCUGCGAGGGUGAUCGGCCACACUGGGACUGAGGCACGGCCCAGACUCCUGCGGGAGGCAGCAGUAGGGAAUCUUCCACAAUGGACGAAAGUCUGAUGGAGCAACGCCGCGUGAGCGAUGAAGGCCUUCGGGUCGUAAAGCUCUGUUGUUAGGGAAGAACAAGUACCGGAGUAACUGCCGGUACCUUGACGGUACCUAACCAGAAAGCCACGGCUAACUACGUGCCAGCCGCCGCAGUAACAC